AUUACUUGAAGCUUCAAGCGUCCAAACCCAUCAGCAGCUUUCUUCCUCGUUCACUUCCUUUUUUUCUACUUUCUCAACGCUCUGCCGUUUUCUCACCAGAAAAUCGAAUCGGAGCAAAAAGAAACCACUCAGAUCUCCAACCAUGUCUUACCCGUCUCCGUUCACUCGGAAUGUGUACAUUGCCAGCCUGCCAGAGGACUACUCCGAGAAGGAUCUACUGGAUCUAUUCUCUCCCUUUGGCCGCGUCAUCUCCUGUACAGUGAAGUACGACAAGGAAACCGGGAUGUGCAAGGGGUACGGCUUCGUCUUAUUUGAAAGUGAGCAGGAUGCGUUGAACGCUGUGAUUGCGCUCCAGGGUCACUCCAUCCGGAACACACGCGUCCAGGUGCGCUUGGCUCGUCCGGAGGCUUCGGCGAAGAAGAUGUAUCCGGUGAUGAUGCAGCAGCAGCUGAUGAGUGCGUGCAUGCCGUACCAGCCGGUGUACGUCAUGUACGUGCCGUCGCCUGUGUACAGUCCGAUGCCGUUGGUGCAGGGCUGAGGAGUGCACGGGAGAACGUCGACGCGUCUUCCGAGGCGUAUCCUGCCUUCUGUGAACAAUGUCACAAAAUGACAGUUCCACGCAGCGGGAAAACAGCCUUUGCGUUUCUGAAAAGCGGCACAGCGCACUCUUUCGUUUUUUUUUUGAUAUUGCUGUUCCAAGUAUGCAUCCACUACAUCCCCGCGUGCUCCAUUCAACUGAACUUAUUGACGUUAGUGUUUACUCUCCAACUCCCACCAACUACUUCCUCGUAUUUUUCUUUGCCCUUUGUCUCUAUUUUGUAUCAUGCUCCCAUUUCUUUCCCCUCUCAUUUUUUUUCCUGUCAGUUUUUUUUUUUUUUUGAUGUGGAUUUCUAAACUCUAUCGAGUUCCACCUCUCACUUGUUUACGGUUCUUCUUUUCAGUUGAUUGUCUUCCACAUGAGCUCGGAAAGUCGAAAAAAGAAGUUUUCUUUUUCAAAGAAAAAAAAAAGAACGCUGCACAUAUCGCCCCCCCCCGCGUGCGUCACGUCAAAAACGUGACGAAAAACCACCGGAGGGCCCUUUCUGUGAGCAAAAAUAAAGAUGUAUAUUUGCAGACAAAAGGCAGCGGCGGAAAGUUCUGAAAGAUGCGGUCCCAAUAAGGUAAAAAGCGAGAGGACCGAACAGAGAAAGGGAGUACUCAAAAACAAAAGCGAUCAAGUCCCAAGGCAGAGAAAGAGAGAGAUAGCGACCUUAGUGGAGAGGCUGUCUCGGCCGCUUUCCGGGUGUUUCUCUUCUCGUGUGCACUUUUUCUUGUUGUCUCUCUUUCUCUUCCUCCUCAUGCUUUGCAACCCUUUUUUGUUGUUGUUCGUGCUAACGCACAGUGAUAUAUGUGCCGCGUGCACUCCAACUGAAACGAAGAAGAUCAACAGAGAGGGAAAAGAGAGAGGAGCAGAAAGUGAUACACUUUUAUUCAACACGGAUUUUAUUUGGAAGGAAGAGGGCUUUGCUCCGCAUCUGAAGCCAUCUGUUGCUGACUUCCUUGUUCCCGGUCUCCUUCAAACAACGUUGGCACACUGAAGACAGGAGAAAAAAGCGGUGGGGCAAGUGCAGCCGUGACAGAGUGUGCGCAUGCGUUUGUUUGCAGAUACAACAAUAACAAAAGUAGACGAGCAAAGCAAUGUGCCAAGCUCGCAACAGAGCUUCUGUGAGCGUUUUUAGCCUCUCAACGACCAAUGAAACAAU
rnacentral:misc_RNA from 1 species